UACGUAGGAUCCAAGCGUUGUCCGGAUUUACUGGGUGUAAAGGGUGCGCAGGCGGACUUGUUAGUCAGAGGUGAAAUCUCACUGCUCAACAGUGAAACUGCCUUUGAUACUGCAGGUCUUGAAUCCAGAAGAGAGUUGUGGAAUUCCGAGUGUAGCAGUGAAAUGUGUAGAUAUUCGGAAGAACACCAGCGGCGAAGGCAGCAACUUGGUCUGGUAUUGACGCUCAGGCACGAAAGCAUGGGGGAAUCAA
rnacentral:rRNA from 1 species